rnacentral:rRNA from 1 species
UACGUAGGGCGCAAGCGUUGUCCGGAAUUAUUGGGCGUAAAGAGCUCGUAGGCGGUCUGUCGCGUCGGCUGUGAAAACCCGAGGCUCAACCUCGGGCCUGCAGUCGAUACGGGCAGACUAGAGUGCGUGUAGGGGAGACUGGAAUUCCUGGUGUAGCGGUGAAAUGCGUAGAUAUCGGGAGGAACACCAGUGGCGAAGGCGACUUCUUGGCCUGUUCUUGACGCUGAGGCGCGAAAGCUGGGGGAGCAAACGGGG